UACUAGAGUAGCACUCGCAUAUCAAUAAGCGGAGGAAAAGAAACUAACAAGGAUUCCCCUAGUAACGGCGAGUGAAGCGGGAAGAGCUCAAAUUUGAAAUCUUAAAGGGUUUCCCUUUACGAAUUGUAGUUUAAAGAAGUGUUUUCUGUUGAGGUUUUGGUAAAAGUUCUUUGGAAUAGGACAUCAUAGAGGGUGAGAAUCCCGUAUUUGACCUUUACUUUCAACUUUGUGAUACACUUUCAAAGAGUCGGAUUGUUUGGGAAUGCAGUCCAAAAUGGGUGGUAAAUUUCAUCUAAAGCUAAAUAUUGGCGAGAGACCGAUAGCGAACAAGUACCGUGAGGGAAAGAUGAAAAGAACUUUGAAAAGAGAGUUAAACAGUACGUGAAAUUGUCAAAAGGGAAGCGUUUGACACCAGUGUUGUUUUUCUGAAAAUCAAUUAAAGAACUGUUUAUGCUAAGCUGUUUAGACUUUAUCAGCUAUCUGUUUAGUUUUGAGCUUUUCUUUAAUGCACUUUUCAGUUAACAAGUCAACAUCAAUUUCUUUUGCUGUAAAAAAGCUUGAGGAAGGUGGCUUGAGAUUCGUCUUAAGUGUUUAUAGCCUCUUGCCUAUGCAGUCGGAGAGAUUGAGGUCUGCAGCGUAGAUCCUUCGGGGCUAAAUGCAUUUGUGCUAAGUUAUAGCAUUUUAUAGGACAACUUGUUGACUAUGAUUUGUCUUGUAGCUUACUCGCUUAUGUUAUUUUACCUACGCUUAGGAUGUUGAGCGCAUGUCUCUCUCU
rnacentral:rRNA from 1 species